rnacentral:rRNA from 1 species
AAUAGAUACCCGGGUAGUCCACGCCGUAAACGAUGAGUGCUAGGUGUCACGGGCUUUGACCCUCGUGGUGCCGAAGCUAACGCGUUAAGCACUCCGCCUGGGGAGUACGGUCGCAAGACUAAAACUCAAAGAAAUUGACGGGGGCCCGCACAAGCGGUGGAGCAUGUGGUUUAAUUCGAAGCAACGCGAAGAACCUUACCAGGUCUUGACAUCCUCUGACACUCCUAGAGAUAGGACGUUCCCCUUCGGGGGACAGAGUGACAGGUGGUGCAUGGUUGUCGUCAGCUCGUGUCGUGAGAUGUUGGGUUAAGUCCCGCAACGAGCGCAACCCUUGAUCUUAGUUGCCAGCAUUCAGUUGGGCACUCUAAGGUGACUGCCGGUGACAAACCGGAGGAAGGUGGGGAUGACGUCAAAUCAUCAUGCCCCUUAUGACCUGGGCUACACACGUGCCACAAUGGAUGGUACAAAGGGCUGCAAAACCGCAAGGUCUAGCCAAUCCCGAUAAAACCAUUCUCAGUUCGGAUUGUAGGCUGCAACG